CCUACGGGAGGCAGCAGUAAGGAAUAUUGGUCAAUGGGGGCAACCCUGAACCAGCCAUGCCGCGUGCAGGAAGACGGCCCUUGGGUUGUAAACUGCUUUUAUCUGGGAAUAUGUACCAGAAGAAUAAGGAUCGGCUAACUCCGUGCCAGCAGCCGCGGUAAUACGGAGGAUCCAAGCGUUAUCCGGAUUUAUUGGGUUUAAAGGGUGCGUAGGCGGCCUAUUAAGUCAGGGGUGAAAGACGGUAGCUCAACUAUCGCAGUGCCUUUGAUACUGAUGGGCUUGAAUUAACUAGAGGUAGGCGGAAUGUGACAAGUAGCGGUGAAAUGCAUAGAUAUGUCACAGAACACCGAUUGCGAAGGCAGCUUACUAUGGUUCAUUGACGCUGAGGCACGAAAGCGUGGGGAUCAAACAGGAUUAGAUACCCGAGUAGUC
rnacentral:rRNA from 1 species